rnacentral:lncRNA from 1 species
UGAAUGAAAUCUUGGGUUCCCCCCAUUACCUCCAAGUCAAGAAUGCUCUUUCCAUAGCUUUCGAACAAACACAUACAAACUGAGCUUUAUGGAGAGUCCGUCUGGGAUUAAGGUGGAGUUUCUUUCUAUUACAUGCAUUCUUCAUGUUUUAUUUGCAUUAACAUGGUUGCAUUUUGUUGAGUGAAAUUCAUUCUCUUUCUCCUCUUUUGUUUUCUCUGUCUCUUCCGAUACAAACUUCCCCAAAAAAAGAAAAAACAUAAAGAGCUGAAUGUACCUAGGCAAUUUCCAUUUACACUAGGCAAUAUCUAAACAAUUCUUAGACAUGCUUAGCUGAAGUGCUCUCAAUCAACUAUGGAGUAGCCAUGUUAAUGCUUUUCUAAAUCAAAUUUGAAUUCUAACAUCCUUCUCAUUUGAGCAUGGAUUGGCUAUGCAUGGAAAAUGGUUUGUGGCCCCAUCUGCCAUAUUUAUUUCCUCCUAUUCCAAUAUGGCUUCUUGUUUUUAGCUGUUAUAUGUAUUGGUUUUAACGCCAUAUGUUGUGACUGUUUGGGGGCAUAGCUUUUAUUUAUUUCUCAAUUAUAAUAGAUAGUGUGUGUCUCUUGUAAUUUUUAUCAUUAUUGAUUUUUAUUUAUAUUUGAGAUAACUUUUGAGAUUUGGGGUUUGACAAUCUCUGUCUUCUUCUUUCUUGCAAUGCUGAUGAAGGAAAUCUUGGGUUCCACCCUUUACCAGGUCAAGGAUGCUCUUUCAUAGAUUUCGAACAUACAAACUGAUCUUUAAGGAGUCCCUCUGAGAUUAAGGUGGAGUUUCUUUCUAUUAUAUGCAUUCUUCAUUUUUUAUUUGCAUUAACAUGGUUGCAUUUUGUUGAGUGAAAUUCAUUCUUUUUCUCCUCUUUGUUUUCUCCUUCUUUUCCGAUAUAAACUUCCUCAAACAAAGAAAAAAGAUAUAGAGCUGAAUGUCCCUAGGCAAUUUCCAUUUACACAUGGCAAUAUCUAAACAAUUCUUAGUCAUGCUUAGCUGAAGUGCUCUCAGUCGACUAUGGAGUAGCC